CGGACGGGUGAGUAACACGUGGAUAACCUACCUAUAAGACUGGGAUAACUUCGGGAAACCGGAGCUAAUACCGGAUAAUAUAUUGAACCGCAUGGUUCAAUAGUGAAAGACGGUUUUGCUGUCACUUAUAGAUGGAUCCGCGCCGCAUUAGCUAGUUGGUAAGGUAACGGCUUACCAAGGCAACUAUGCGUAGCCGACCUGAGAGGGUGAUCUGCCACACUGGAACUGAGACACGGUCCAGACUCCUACGGGAGGCAGCAGCC
rnacentral:rRNA from 1 species